GUUACGCUGGCGGCGUGCCUAAUACAUGCAAGUCGAGCGGACAGAUGGGAGCUUGCUCCCUGAUGUUAGCGGCGGACGGGUGAGUAACACGUGGGUAACCUGCCUGUAAGACUGGGAUAACUCCGGGAAACCGGGGCUAAUACCGGAUGCUUGAUUGAACCGCAUGGUUCAAUUAUAAAAGGUGGCUUUUAGCUACCACUUACAGAUGGACCCGCGGCGCAUUAGCUAGUUGGUGAGGUAACGGCUCACCAAGGCAACGAUGCGUAGCCGACCUGAGAGGGUGAUCGGCCACACUGGGACUGAGACACGGCCCAGACUCCUACGGGAGGCAGCAGUAGGGAAUCUUCCGCAAUGGACGAAAGUCUGACGGAGCAACGCCGCGUGAGUGAUGAAGGUUUUCGGAUCGUAAAACUCUGUUGUUAGGGAAGAACAAGUACCGUUCGAAUAGGGCGGUACCUUGACGGUACCUAACCAGAAAGCCACGGCUAACUACGUGCCCAGCAGCCGCGGUAAUACCGUAGGUGGCAAGCGUUGUCCGGAAAUUAUUUGG
rnacentral:rRNA from 1 species